AGCAUGGUCUUAGCUUGCUAAGACUGAUGGCGACCGGCGCACGGGUGAGUAACACGUAUCCAACCUGCCGUCUACUCUUGGACAGCCUUCUGAAAGGAAGAUUAAUACAAGAUGGCAUCAUGAGUCCGCAUGAUUAAAGGUAUUUUCCGGUAGACGAUGGGGAUGCGUUCCAUUAGAUAGUAGGCGGGGUAACGGCCCACCUAGUCAACGAUGGAUAGGGGUUCUGAGAGGAAGGUCCCCACAUUGGAACUGAGACACGGUCCAAACUCC
rnacentral:rRNA from 1 species